rnacentral:piRNA from 1 species
UGCUGUGCAGCCUGGUUCCUAAUAGGUC